UCCCUGGUGGCUCAGAUGGUAAAGAAUCUGCCUGCAAUGCAGGAGACCCAGGUUCUAUCCCUGGUGAGGGAA
rnacentral:tRNA from 1 species